rnacentral:rRNA from 1 species
GAUGAACGCUGGCGGCGUGCCUAAUACAUGCAAGUCGAGCGAACAGACGAGGAGCUUGCUCCUCUGACGUUAGCGGCGGACGGGUGAGUAACACGUGGAUAACCUACCUAUAAGACUGGGAUAACUUCGGGAAACCGGAGCUAAUACCGGAUAAUAUAUUGAACCGCAUGGUUCAAUAGUGAAAGACGGUUUUGCUGUCACUUAUAGAUGGAUCCGCGCCGCAUUAGCUAGUUGGUAAGGUAACGGCUUACCAAGGCAACGAUGCGUAGCCGACCUGAGAGGGUGAUCGGCCACACUGGAACUGAGACACGGUCCAGACUCCUACGGGAGGCAGCAGUAGGGAAUCUUCCGCAAUGGGCGAAAGCCUGACGGAGCAACGCCGCGUGAGUGACGAAGGUCUUCGGAUCGUAAAACUCUGUUAUUAGGGAAAAACAAAUGUGUAAGUAACUAUGCACGUCUUGACGGUACCUAAUCAGAAAGCCACGGCUAACUACGUG